AUGAUUUCUAUGAUCCUCGUCUUCCUCCUGAUGCUGUGUGGGAGAACUGGAAGAUGUGCACCCAUUGGGCCCCACACCAGCAGUUCAGAGACAUGCCAAAAUAUAAGGAUACAGGCUGACAGGAUAAUAGAAAUGCUUAAUGAUGAAAAUUUCACACCAUCUCAAAGCAGUACCAUCUCUUCUGAAAACAACUGUGGAGCGGCAAAGUGUGCAGUUUUACAGAAACUUCGUGAUUAUCAUCACUGUAACAAGACAUUCCCUAACAGUGGCAAUAAACCCAUGCAGGAAAUUCAGGGCCUAAUUCAUAACUUACAGAUGCUCAAGUGCUCAGAUGAAGAAAAAGCAUGCAACUUCUCAAAUCCCUCGUGCCCCUUGGAAAUUAAACAUUCUGUUUGGAACCAAACUAAAACAUUUGUGGAGCAGGUCAUUGGAGCGUGUUUACAUGCAAUGCAACAUUUGUGUCCUAAAUUAUCUUAA
rnacentral:lncRNA from 1 species